rnacentral:rRNA from 1 species
GGGGAAUCUUCCGCAAUGGACGAAAGUCUGACGGAGCAACGCCGCGUGUAUGAAGAAGGCCUUCGGGUUGUAAAAUACUGUUGUUGGGGAAGAACCGGUUAUGUGAGAAUAUUGCAUAACUCUGACGGUACCCAACGAGGAAGCCCCGGCUAACUACGUGCCAGCAGCCGCGGUAACACGUAGGGGGCAAGCGUUGUCCGGAAUUAUUGGGCGUAAAGGGCGCGUAGGCGGCUAAUCAAGUCUGAUGUGAAAGUGCGGGGCUUAACCCCGUAAAGCAUUGGAAACUGGUUGGCUUGAGGACAGGAGAGGAAGGUGGAAUUCCACGUGUAGCGGUGAAAUGCGUAGAGAUGUGGAGGAACACCAGUGGCGAAGGCGACUUUCUGGACUGUAACUGACGCUGAGGCGCGAAAGCGUGGGGAGCGAAC